GACGAACGCUGGCGGCGUGCUUAACACAUGCAAGUCGAACGGAAAGGCCCUGCUUUUGUGGGGUGCUCGAGUGGCGAACGGGUGAGUAACACGUGAGUAACCUGCCCUUGACUUUGGGAUAACUUCAGGAAACUGGGGCUAAUACCGGAUAGGAGCUCCUGCUGCAUGGUGGGGGUUGGAAAGUUUCGGCGGUUGGGGAUGGACUCGCGGCUUAUCAGCUUGUUGGGGGGGUAGUGGCUUACCAAGGCUUUGACGGGUAGCCGGCCUGAGAGGGUGACCGGCCACAUGGGGACUAGGAAGCGGCCCGGACCCCUCCGGGGGGCAGGAGGGGGAAAUAUUGCAAAAGGGGCGGAGGCCUGAUGCAGCACCGCCGGGUGGGGGAGGACGGCCUUGGGGUGGGAACCCGCUUUCGCCUGUGCCGAAGCGUGGGGGAGGGAAAUGGGUAAAAAAGCACCGGCAAACUACGG
rnacentral:rRNA from 1 species